AUUGAGAGUUUGAUCCUGGCUCAGGAUGAACGCUGGCGGCGUGCCUAAUACAUGCAAGUCGAACGAGGUGGAAGGGAGCUUGCUCCUGGAUACCGAGUGGCGAACGGGUGAGUAACACGUAGGUAACCUGCCCUUAAGCUUGGGAUACCCAGAGGAAACUUUGGCUAAUACCGGAUAACAACAGAGGAGGCAUCUCCUUUGCUUGAAAGGCCCUUCAAAGGGUCACUUAAGGAUGGACCUGCGGCGCAUUAGCUAGUUGGUGAGAUAAAAGCCCACCAAGGCGAGGAUGCGUAGCCGACCUGAGAGGGUGGCCACAUUGGAACUGAGACACGGUCCAAACUCCUACGGGAGGCAGCAGUAAGGAGUUUUCGGCAAUGGGGGAAACCCUGACCGAGCAACGCCGCGUGAGUGAUGACGGCCCUAUGGGUUGUAAAGCUCUGUUGUAAGGGACGAACGAUCGUUUAGGAAAUGAAACGGUUCUGACGGUACCUUACCAGAAAGCCACGGCUAACUACGUGCCAGCAGCCGCGGUAAUACGUAGGUGGCAAGCGUUAUCCGGAAUUAUUGGGCGUAAAGAGGGAGCAGGCGGCAAGAUAAGUUUGAAGUGAAAGCGUGGAGCUCAACUCCAUACAGCUUCGAAAACUGUCUAGCUAGAGUACGAGAGAAGUGAACGGAACUCCAUGUGUAGCGGUGAAAUGCGUAGAUAUAUGGAAGAACACCAGUGGCGAAGGCGGUUCACUAGCUCGAAACUGACGCUCAGUCCCGAAAGCGUGGGUAGCAAAUAGGAUUAGAUACCCUAGUAGUCCACGCCGUAAACGAUGAGAACUAAAUAUUGCCGCGAGGCAGUGUUGAAGCUAACGCAUUAAGUUCUCCGCCUGGGGAGUACGAUCGCAAGAUUGAAACUUAAAGGAAUUGACGGGGACCCGCACAAGCAGUGGAGCAUGUGGUUUAAUUCGACGCAACGCGAAGAACCUUACCAGGGCUUGACAUGGAGGCUAAAUACUUAGAGAUAAGGAAAUAUACGCCUCACACAGGUGGUGCAACAGGUGGUGCAUGGUUGUCGUCAGCUCGUGUCGUGAGAUGUUGGGUUAAGUCCCGCAACGAGCGCAACCCCUUUCCUUAGUUGCCAUCAUUCAGUUGGGAACUCUAAGGAUACUGCCGAUGUAAGUCGGAGGAAGGUGGGGAUGACGUCAAAUCAUCAUGCCCUUUAUGUCCUGGGCGACACACGUGCUACAAUGGCCGGUACAAAGAGACGCGAAUCCGCGAGGAGGAGCAAAUCCCAUAAAGCCGGUCUCAGUUCGGAUUGGAGUCUGCAACUCGACUCCAUGAAGCUGGAAUUGCUAGUAAUCGCGAAUCAGCCAUGUCGCGGUGAAUACGUUCCCGGGUCUUGUACACACCGCCCGUCAAACCAUGAGAGCUGGUAAUACUCGAAGUCGUUAUCCUAACCGCAAGGAGGGAGACGCCUAAGGUAGGACUGGUGAUUGGGGUUAAGUCGUAACAAGGUAUCCCUACGGGAACGUGGGGAUGGAUCACCUCCUU
rnacentral:rRNA from 1 species